CCUACGGGGCGCAGCAGUGAGGAAUAUUGGUCAAUGGCCGUAAGGCUGAACCAGCCAAGUCGCGUGAAGGAAGAAGGAUCUAUGGUUUGUAAACUUCUUUUAUAGGGGAAUAAAGGUAUCCACGUGUGGAUAUUUGCAUGUACCCUAUGAAUAAGCAUCGGCUAACUCCGUGCCAGCAGCCGCGGUAAUACGGAGGAUGCGAGCGUUAUCCGGAUUUAUUGGGUUUAAAGGGUGCGUAGGUUGUUUUUUAAGUCAGCGGUGAAAGUUUGUGGCUCAACCAUAAAAUUGCCGUUGAAACUGGAAGACUUGAGUGUGUUUGAGGUAGGCGGAAUGCGUGGUGUAGCGGUGAAAUGCAUAGAUAUCACGCAGAACUCCGAUUGCGAAGGCAGCUUACUAAGCCAUAACUGACGUUGAGGCUCGAAAGCGUGGGGAGCAAACAGGAUUAGAUACCCUUGUAGUC
rnacentral:rRNA from 1 species